AAUGAACGCUGGCGGCGUGCUUAACACAUGCAAGUCGAGCGCGAAAGCUCCUUCGGGAGUGAGUAGAGCGGCGGACGAGUGAGUAACACGUAAGAAUCUACCCUUUAGUGAAGGAUAACCUCGGGAAAUCGAGAUUAAUACUGCAUACGUUCCUUCGGGAAGAAAGGUGGCUUUAUGCUGCCGCUAAAGGAUGAGCUUGCGGGUUAUCAGCUUGUUGGUGAGGUAAAGGCUCACCAAGGCUUUGACGGCUAGCCGGCCUGAGAGGGUGUUCGGCCACGUUGGAACUGAGACACGGUCCAGACUCCUACGGGAGGCAGCAGUGGGGAAUAUUGCGCAAUGGGCGAAAGCCUGACGCAGCGACGCCGCGUGGAGGAUGAAGGUUUUCGGAUCGUAAACUCCUGUUAAGUGGGAAGAAAUCUUGGUCUCUAACAUAGAUCAAGCCUGACGGUACCACUAAAGAAAGCACCGGCUAACUUCGUGCCAGCAGCCGCGGUAAUACGAGGGGUGCAAGCGUUAUUCGGAAUUAUUGGGCGUAAAGGGUGUGUAGGCGGCAUAUUAAGUCUGUUGUUAAAUUCUCCGGCUCAACCGGAGACCUGCGAUAGAUACUGAUGUGCUAGAGGAUGGAAGAGAGAAGUGGAAUUCCCGGAGUAGCGGUAAAAUGCGUAGAUCUCGGGAGGAACACCGAUGGCGAAGGCAGCUUCUUGGUCCAUUCCUGACGCUGAGACACGAAAGCGUGGGGAGCAAACAGGAUUAGAUACCCUGGUAGUCCACGUCGUAAACGAUAAUCACUAGACGUCAGCCGAGCUCUGCUUGGUUGGUGUCAAAGCUAACGCGUUAAGUGAUUCGCCUGGGGAGUACGGUCGCAAGACUAAAACUUAAAGGAAUUGACGGGGGUCCGCACAAGCGGUGGAACAUGUGGUUUAAUUCGACGGUACGCGAGGAACCUUACCUGGACUUGACAUGUACUUGACCGCUGUAGAAAUACAGUUUUUCGAGCUUCGGUUCGAACAGGUACACAGGUGCUGCAUGGCUGUCGUCAGCUCGUGUCGUGAGAUGUUGGGUUAAGUCCUUUAACGAGCGUAACCCUUGCUGUCAGUUGCAACUUAUCUUCGGAUAAGGCACUCUGACGGUACUGCCUGGGAAACCAGGAGGAAGGUGGGGACGACGUCAAGUCAUCAUGGUCCUUAUGUCCAGGGCUACACACGUGUUACAAUGGCCAGUACAGAGGGUUGCAAUACCGUAAGGUGGAGCUAAUCCCAGAAAGCUGGUCUAAGUUCGGAUUGAGGUCUGCAACUCGACCUCAUGAAGUUGAAAUCGCUAGUAACCGCGUAUCAGCAACGACGCGGUGAAUACGUUCUCGGACCUUGUACACACCGCCCGUCACACCACGAAAGCUGUUUGUACCCGAAGUUAUCUUAGCCAACCUGAAAAGGAGGCGGAUAGUUAAGGUGUGGAUGGUGAUUGGGGUG
rnacentral:rRNA from 1 species